GACGUAGGGUGCAAGCGUUGUCCGGAUUUACUGGGCGUAAAGAGCGCGUAGGCGGUCUGUUAAGUGCACGAGUGAAAUCCCGGGGCUCACCUCCGGAACUGCUCUGCAUACUGGCAGACUUGAGGGUCGAAGAGGUUUGUGGAAUUCCUGGUGUAGCGGUGAAAUGCGUUGAUAUCAGGAGGAACACCCAUGGCGAAGGCAGCAAACUGGUCGGCAUCUGACGCUGAGGCGCGAAAGCGUGGGUAGCAAACAGG
rnacentral:rRNA from 1 species